AUCAACUUUGUCAUAUUCAAAGACUUCCAAGUACCCUCUCUUGUUUUUACAUUAACCCUUUUUCAUAUGCUUCAAAUAUUGGUCCUUUUUUCUUUUUGAGAUGAACUAUCUGUUCUUUGUGAUUUUGUAUGUCUGAGGAGACAGGAAGGAUUGGUUUGCAAUCGUCUGUAUAUUGGUGCGUAAGGAUGCUAAGGGGAACUUGAUACUUGGUUGACUGAUUGAUGCAAUUCUAUCUGAUCUCGCUCUAAAGUUUUGUGUUUUGGUUGGAUAUAAUUUAUUGCAGAGCAAGAGGAGCUUAAAUAUGAAGAGAAAAGUGUUGAGGUUAUCAGAAUCAUUCAGCCAAAUAAAGGAAGUGAAUUUGAUGCUUCCAACCUCCACAAUAUCCAAGGAGCUUUUUGAAGAUCCUCUCAAGUCUGUUGAAUGUUCGCAGCGGUGGAAAAUCAAAAGCGCCUAUGGUGACAUUGGCCUCAAGUAUAGGUAGGAUGAAACACUUGCUUACGUGGCGUCUCGUAUGCCUGCUGUCUACUCUGCUCUUUAUAGAGUCCUUAGUGAGGUAUGCAGAAGAUUGCGUGGUUUUUACCUGCUAAGGUGUUGGAAUUGGGGCUGGGGGCCUGGGACUGGUUCUGCAUUUUGGGCAGUUAGAGAAGUGUGGCCACGGUCAUUGAAUAGAAUUAAUUUGGUAGAGCCAUCACAGUCCAUGCAGCGUGCUGGAUAGAACCUUAUAAAAGGUACAUUCUGGUGUUCUAUCGACUCUUUUUGGCCUGCAAAAUCUUAGACUUUUAGUAAUGCUUUCGAAUGCUAAUUACUCCAUCCGUCCCAAUUUAUACGAUGUAGUUUGACUGGAUACGGAGUUUAAGAAAUAAGGAAAGACUUUUGAAUCUUGUGGUCUAAAAAGAACCAAAGAUAUUUGGUGGCUAUAGAUCAUCUCGUUAAACGUAAAAGAUAAAAUUUAAAGUUAAAUUGUUACCAAAUAAGAAAACGCAUCGUUCUUUUUUAGACUGACUAAAAAGGAAAGUGUGUCAUAUAAGUUGGGACAGAGGGAGUAAUAGUUAUUAGUUACUUCGCUGAUCAGCUCGUUCAAUUUUCUCACCGGCUUAGGUGGAAGUGUGCUUUUAUUGCUGUGGAAAUAUAAGGGAGAUGAAGUCUCUGCUUCUCACACAAAGUAUUAUAAGUCUCUCUAUGUGUACGUCUUAUUAAAUUUGUGCAUAAAGCAGAUACAACUUUAAGUGAAAUUGUUCUCUUAUCAGAGGAUAGAUUCGCCAACAACAUCAUUUUGUAUGCCUUAAGCUUUUGGGCAGUGCAUCUUGAGCCGAGGGUCUUUUGGAAAUAGCCUCUGUACCUUCCAAGGUAGAGGUAAGGUCUGCGUACACUCUACACUGGGUAUGUUGUUGUUGCAUCUUGAUAUGAAUGAGAUUGUCUGAGCUUCAUAAACUACAACCCGAGAUGUCAUAUCUUGGAGUCAUUUGUUGUUGUCCCCGAGACAUAUGUGCUGCAUGAUAAGUAGAGGUGUCAAAAUGGGCUAGCCCAACCCAACCCAACCCGGCCCUAAAGGAUCAAAGAAUUAAAUGUGCUAGGACGGGCUAGCCCUUUUAACUGAAGAACCUGCAAAAUGGCAGCACAACCCAGCCCUAGGUGGGCCGCGGGUUAGGACGGGCCAGCUUUUAAGUUUUUUCAUCUUCCAAAACAACAUUUUCUAGGUAAUUUUUAGUACAAUUUGAACAUGGAACUUUUGCAAUAUGAAAUAGAAGAAACUUUUGCAAUAUGAAAUAGAAUCUUUUAUCAUCCAUUCUUGCGCAAAUCCAUAUCAUAGAAGAAAAAAUUCAAGAGAACAAAAAUAAAUUAUUAUUUUUAAUCAAUAAUUCAUAUCACGUUUAAAAGAAAUUAAACAUAAUAUAAAUUCUAAGACUAAAAAUUAUUACUCCAGUUUCUAAUUACUACUUAAUAGUAAGUAUAUUCUUUUUUCUCAUUACAUUUUAUCUUUUUAUUUAAUUUACUUAUUUAAAAAAAAAAAUUUAAUUUAUUAUUCUUUUCUGGCCUCAAGAGCUGGCCUCAGCCCAACCCUUGAGGUCGGCGGGCCAAGAGAGGCUGAGCUUUUGAACUUCAUUUCUAUAUGGGCCAAAAAAAUCUUAGCCCAACCCUACUUAAAUAAAGGGUUGGGUUGGACUGGUCUCGCGGGCCAAGCUCAAUUCGACAGCUCUAGCCUCUAAUGAUAAGGUUGUGGCCCAUUAAUGUUUUUGUACAACCAAGGAGUAUCUUAGCCAGUGGUUAAGAAUCACUUCAUAUUGAUUAACCUUACAUUUUCCAAAAAACUAAAAAAGUAUUGCUUUCACAUUGCUGUCUCCAGUAGUUUCCAUAUAUUUGUAGUGUGGUUAUAUAUCAUUUCAUUAAUGGUAAAAUAAGAAAUUUAAAGUUAAAUUAUUUCUAAAUAUGAAAAAUUAACUUUUUUUUUUUUGAAAAAGACAAAACGAAAGAGUAUCACUUAAUUUGAAUUUGAGGAGAUAUUAGUUUUAUGAUGGAACAAAAGGAAAUUCUUUUGAACAUCCCAUAUAAUGAGUUUUUUUUUUAAACCUUUUUCUUGAAUAAUUGAGAAUAGCUAUAAAGAGAUUGACAAGUUAAAAUAAAAAAAAAAAAAACUAGGAGGGAAGAAUCUUAAAUAACAUUUACUCCAUUAUUAUUUUCCCAUAAUAGUUGAGCAUGCAAAAGAAUCGUCUUAAUCUUUGCAUAAAUGGAAAUUAAUGAAAGGGAACAUAUUUAUACUUAAAUAUUAGCAUGCAACUGUAGAUUUUGUUCACCUAAGUUUUAUAUUAUAGUACUAUAUAAAGAUAGAUGCUUUACUCAUAUAGGCCAUAUCCUAGCAAAAAAGAAAAAAAACAAGGAGGAGAAAAAAAUGAAGUCUUCACAAUUAAAUUUGUCCAUAUUUUUCCUUCUUUUGACUACAUAUUAUUCAUGUUCUUUGGUUCAUUCUAUACAGUUUACUGUAUUAAUCAACAAUGAAUUGGCAGAUACUUUAUCAACUCACUGUAUAAUUGAAGGUUUUGAUGCUGGAACUUCACCAAUUCCACAAGGAAGUAAAGACUCUUUUCCAGUGAAUUUCAAUGACCCAAAGCAACCUGCAAAUGCUACUUGUGGUUUGGCUGCUCAAAAAUCAAAAGGGGUUCAUGGUCAAUUUGUUCUCUUUGAUAAUCUUAGAGAUUCUCCAAGAUGUAGUAAUAAUAUAUGUGAAUGGCAUGCAAAGAAUGAUGGAUUGUAUCUAAAUAUUCAAGGCAAACAAGUUUUUCAGUUUAAAUGGUCCCAUUAGAAUUAAGGUCAAUUGAUUCUUGUAAUGCGGGAAGUGCAAUAAUAAGUGAAGUAUACAUGUUGUUAGUUAUUGCAGUUA